rnacentral:rRNA from 1 species
CCCUCCCUCUGGCGGCAUGCCUAACACAUGCAAGUCGAACGAAACAUUCGGGUCUAGUUGCGCAUGGGUGCGUAACGCGUCGGAACAUGCCCUUAGGUUUGGAAUAACUCUCCGAAAGGGGUGCUAAUACCGGAUAAUGUCUUCGGACCAAAGAUUUAUUGCCAUUGGUUGGGCCUGCGUUUGAUUAGCUAGUCGGUAGUGUAAUAGCCUACCAAGGCGACGAUCCAUAGCUGGACUAAGAGGAUGAUCAGCCACACUGAGACUGAGACCCGGCCCAGACUCCUACGGGAGGAAGCAGUAGUGAGUAUUGGACAAUGGGGGAAGGCCUGAGCCAGCUAAGCCGCGUGAGUGAUGAAGGUCUGAGGGUUGUAAAGCACUUUUACACGAGAUGAUAAUGACGGUACCUGGAGAAUAAGCUCCGGCUAACUCCGUG